rnacentral:lncRNA from 1 species
CCUGAUCAUCCGGGAAAGAACGAACGGUUUUCCAAGCAAAAUAACCAGCCAAUAUUGCUGAAAAAAACACCAAUACGAAUCUUAAAGGACACAUAAUAAUAAUAAUGAUCUCCUCUUCACUUUCCGGCGCGAAUUCAAAUUUAUUCGGGCUCCACUACGGAUACCCGAAACCGGGUUACAAAAAUCAAUUCUUCGUUUUCCCCUAAAAAAAAUAAAACUGUGCAAAUAUUUGAACCCUCUGAAUAGCCUAAAUUUUCCUGGAAUAAGGAAAACUAAAAAGGGGCAGGAGGAGUUGUUGGCUGACUUGUAAGAUUAGGAAAAUUUACACUUUAGUCCCUCAAAUUUAUACAAAUUAUAUUUUUUUCGCUUUUCAAAUAUGUACUCGUUCCGUUUCUAAAUAUAGUACAAUAUACAUGUUAUUUUUAGCUUGGACAUAUUCAUUAAGAAAUUACUUAUUUCUUAAAAAUAUACUAUUUUUACUAAUUUACCGUUUAAAUACCUUGAAAAAAUUCAAUUUGUUAACAGCUUCUUGGUUAGGAAAAUAUCUUUUUAUUUACAAAAUGAUAAAAUUAAAAAAACAUUAUUAAUGUCAUCUUAAUUAUGUAAGGGGAAAAAGGUCAAAAAGAAAAAAAAAUACUCGUCCAUUGAUUAACUUUGCCCUUGAUUAUACUAUAGACUGAGGUAUGUAGGCAAACUUCACAUACACCCCUCAAUUUAAUAAAUUCUCUCAAAUCAAUAAAAAUCAAUUUCAACUGAAAUUAUCCAAAUUCCUCCUUUAAUCCAAACCCCACCACUAAAUUAAACAAGCCCAUAACAAAUUAAAUCUCAAAACAUAUUUCUCCAAUUUUCUUCAUCUCCUCUCAGUUCUUCAAUCUCUAAUUAUUACUUUUGAAAUUGAAAGGAUAUUAUUGAUGUCUAUUUGAUUAUCUAAAACAUCGUUUAUUUAGAACAAACUAAAAAGACUAAAACACCACUUAUCCAGAAACGAUAGAAAUAUAUUACUAAGAAAAUUUAACUUCCUAUUAAUUGAACUUCGCAUUUUUUUGCUCCCAUUGCUUAUAAAUGUUAUAAAUUUAAUGAAUUAUACGCUAUUUUUUUUGUUUUAAUUUAUAUGUCAUUGACAAAAUUUUGAGUAUUGAAUUUUUAAUUUUAAUUGUCUAUUCAAACGUGAAAUCUUUAAUUUCUUUUGAAAUAAAAUCAAUUAAAAAUAAUAUAAAUAUAACAGAUUCUUAUAUAAAGGAUUAAAAUGUAUAAUUUAACAAAUUAAAAAUCAAAAUAUGUUAGAUUCAUAUAUAAUAAGGAUCAUAACUAAUAUUCAUUAAUAUUAGAAGGAUCUAAAGUGCUAACAUUACUUCUCAUGAUUAAUUCAUUUAUUUUUGGUAUAACAAGACAAGGUGAUGAGAAAUGUCAACCACUUGCUACUAUAUUUGAUGAUUUUUCAAAUCGCUUUUAUUAAGCAAAGAAAGAAAAAGAGUGUCACAGUCUAACACAGCCAAAAAAGAAAAUUUGAAACUUAAUACUCCCGAGCUUGAUUUAUUUGUCAUAUUUUGAGUUGACACAUCUAUUAAAAAAAUUCAUAACAUGGUUAAUUUAUUAUAGUACUCUAUUAAAUAAUGCUUACGUUAUAUCUUAAAAUUAUUUUUUUAAAAAAUAAUUAAUAUUAAGAAUAAAAUAGAAAAAAGAAUGUUUCUCUUGAUAUAUCAAAGAUGAUAAAAAAAAAAAAUAGAUAUUCAAUAAGGAAAUUAGUGACAAGUAAAAGUCAACGAAAGAAGUAAAUGAUUAGUUCAAUUUUUUGAACGAUGCAUGUCUUUUAAUGUUGCUUCAAUGUAAGGAGUCGUUUGAUUGGGAAAGAGCUUUUCAAAAUAAUUAAUAUUGAUAUUACUUAUUUCGGAAUUAGUUCUCACUCAUGUAUAUGAAAUAACUUAUUUCAUCCUUGUGGUGUAAAUAGUGGAAUAAAUAAUUCCGUAUUAACUAAUACCUCACACCAAACAUGUGAUAAAACCAUCUUUUUCAUUUUAUUCCAAAAUUAUUUAUUCAUUAUACCUCACGCCAAACGAUCCCUGAGAGUUUAAAGUCUAAUGUUCGCCAAUAUUAGAAAAAAAAAUCAAAAAAAAAAAAAAAAGAAAAAAACGGAAGGAGAGAAGUAGCUCCCAAAAAUUAACAAACGAAGAAAAAGGAGGAAAAGAUUUUAGAGGAAAGUAUCUUUUUCUUCCUUGUUGGGAGAGAAAGAAUAAAACAUUACUGGAGCGGCAAAGUGGUAAGAAGACAAGCGUUUAGCACUGAAGAUGAAAAUACGUGAAUGUACAACCUCUUUUUACUCUUUCACUAAUUAACCUCUUUUAAUUUGAUACAAAAUUUUAAAAAGAAAAAAGAAAGCUUUUAAAUUUUAUAAUUUUAAAUUAAAAAAUAAUAAUUAGAAAAGAAAAUAAAUCAAAUAAAUUAAAAUCAAGAAAAUAUUUAGGAAAGCUAGGCUUCAGCCCCAUUACAUGUAGCAAAGCAUUCUCCCAAUUUGGUGCAUUCUUGAGAAGUGAAAAAUUAUUCAAGUAAAUACAAGAAGACUGAAGACUAAACGUAACCCUAGAUGGUGGUAUGAACGUCUUUGAACCCCACGUUGUGUGUAUUCACUCUAGGUAUGUUGUCGUUGUAGUAGUAGUAUUAAUUAAUCACCACACCUCCGUCUCCUUCCUCCAGAUCUAGGGUUUUGCUAGCCCCAGAUCUACAAACACUAGCAUUCCAUUGGCUUCUAAACGCAUAAUACUAGUAAUUUUACUUUCUCCAAUUAAUUUUGUUGAUGAUGGAAUUGUUACACAACUUUAGAAGGAAAAAAAAAGAAGCUAAAAGGCAGAAACAGACUUCCAAUUUAAUUUGGAUCUUUUUCUUCGUUUAAACGUAAGCAACGUACUCAAAUCACCCUUUACAAAAUACAUUAGAGAAAUUAAAAACUAAUAUACAUUCGAUUAAUCAACAAAUUAAAACAGAAGAAAUCUUGAUUCCCCAUUAUCCGUGAAAUCUUAUUAGCUCGUUUGAUCACCUCAUCUCGUUAUUGUCAUCUUAACAGCUCUUUGUUGACUUGAGAUUCCUCCAUAAAUAUUUGCCACUAGCCAUAUCCACAAAUACCCAAAAUCCAUUUGAAAUCAUCUGAGUAAAAUUCACCUUAGCAGAAUCGAAUUCUCGUUUCCCUUCUUGGGAUUUGUGCACAGAAUCCUCAUUAUCCUGAUCAUCAGGGGCAGAACGAACGCUUUUCCAAGCAAUAUAACCAGCUAACAUUGCUGAAAAAAACACCAAUAUGAAUCUUAAAGGGCACAUUUUUUUUGUUUUUUGCUAAAUAAUAUCUGUGCACUAUGAAUGGGGCAACUGAAUUUGAGUCUGUUUCUUAUAUAAAGUAAUUGUUUCUAAAACGCGUUCCUAAUCCUAAUGGAAUUAGGAAAAAGUAAAAGGGGCAGGAGGAGUUGUUGGCUGACUUUUUGAGACUAGGUAAAUUGUACUUUAGUCCAUUAAAGUUAAAUAUUUACCCAUUGCUCCCUCUUUCUCAUUUUUUCAAAACCUUUAAACCAACCAAACAUUUUUCAUGACUAUUCAAAUACCUAAAGGCAUAAGAAGAAAUCGUAAUGAAAAAUUAAUUUGAUUUUCAGAAAUUUAAAUAAUGUAACAUAAAUUGAAAUAGAGAAAAUACUAUAUAAUUUGACUAUUCACGUAUUAUGAUGAAUUUGUAUUAUUAAUCUAUAUUUGAGAAUAAUAUAAUUUUAAAACUAAUUAUUAAUACAUCUUAUCUCCUGUAUAAGGGAUCAGAAC